rnacentral:lncRNA from 1 species
AGGUCGCUGAUCUUCAGGAGGCCAUCCAUGCCAGGAGUAAGUGGAUUCCCUCAUUCCCUGCUUAAAUUUCGCCACUCGCUUUUGCUCUCUGCAGUUCCUGUGUUCGACCAUUCGUGUGUUGCGAUUGCGACAGAGAAACAUGCGUGUUCUGGAGUAAAGAACCGAACACAAGGGAGUGUUUUACAGUGUGCAGUGUGCCAGUGUCAUUCAGCAAGCGGGAAUCCGUUGCCGCUUUUUUUUUCAUUGCACUAGUAAACGACGUUUGCAUGUGUCAUGUGAGAGUAAGUAGUUGUUGCUGAAAAGGCAGGACAUCGAUUCAGACCUGCUCUGCUAACAGUUUCGUUCUUCAUCCUUCCAGAGCCCAUGUUUGUACUAGAAACUGUUAUAUACGUCCUGCCCAUAUAAUUAGAAACCUUGCUAGCAAAUUCCAAACUUUAGUGCUUUGCAUGGCCACUGAUGCCGCAGGUUUACCCUGCUCUUUCUGAAUUCCAUGUGCGUGCUAAAGGGCCGCGAUUAGUGCCAGUGGGUGUGGUAUGCAGCUGCUGUAUUUUUUGUCCUCCUCCGGUUCGUUUAAGUCUCAGUCUCGACAUGAAAGUAGGAAAAGGGAGGGAAGCUGCUGCAGAUACAAGAUGCUUUUAGGCUACCAUUCAUAGGGUUGAGCAGGCUAACAUAGCGAAAUACAGUUGUCGGACAUGAGUUGUAAAGAAUAUUUAAUAAAUACUAAGGGAGAGAUUAGUUAGAUGGGAACAAGAAGUAUAGUUGAGCAGUAUUUCAAAGUUGUCUCUGGGACAUGUUAUUGGCUUUUCAACCUUACUUGCAAAUAGCAUCCGUACUGCAUUCAGUCAACGUUUGUUACAUUAUUACGGUUUAAUUCAAAGUAGGUAAGCGUGAUUAUUUUUUUUUUGUCAAAAGCACAUCCAAACCGAAAAGUAUGUACUACAGUUUGCGCGAAUACUCUCCUUAAUGUCUGUCUCAGGGAUAAAUAUUGUUCGAACUUUCUUGCUUGAUGGAACCCGAAACUGUUUCUAGAAUCUGCAUUCCUUCGAUAUAUUUCAAGCUCCAAGUGCCGUUGACUAUGCUAAUGCUGUGUCUCCAGAGUCUUACACAUUUUUAUCUCCUAUCACAUUCUCUAUUUCAAAUUUCACUUUGUACUCACAUUUUAGCAGCAUAUGUGAUGAAAAUUUAAGAGGUGCCUUAUGCGUGCCUUAUGCCCUUACGCCAUUUAUUGUCACAUCCACAGGCACCGGCCUUCUGUGUACACUCUGCAGAUUAGCAGAUCAGCAUGCUAGUCUAUUUACUUCCCAUAAUGAGGUGGAACGCACAAGCAGUUAUUGUUCAUGUUGGACCGACCGCUCAAGAGGGUGGGUUUUGCAGGCAUGUUCAUGCUCCCAUGUGCUUGGGUGAGACUUGAAAGUAUCUCAUAAUGUAUGGGUUGGUCAUGAAUUAUUAUUAUUAUUAUUUUUUAUUUUUUUUGCAUCACAUGCUAGCAACAUGGAUUGCUCUGCCCCUCAACUUAUUGCUACGUGGCGACCUGGUGGUGUGGUGCUCUGCCCUCAACUUUUAGACCUGCAGCAUAGGGCUAAUUUACCUCCAGAUAUUGGCCAAAAUGUGUUGGAAUAGCAAACACUUCCUAAACUGGCAUGCUGAGUUUGCAGCUUGUUUUUACAUAUCCUAAGGACUAGUUUAGGCUCCAAUCCCCUCCGGUUCUGUGGCUCCCAAACUAGCCUUAAACUAGCUGAAUGAUGCGCACGGAAUAUGUGGGCUGACAAGUAAGAACUGAUAGUCUUUGAAAGUGGAGCUAGUAGCAAAGCUAAUUGUAGCAUCUUUUACUACUUGAUGCGAACUAAUGCUACUCUAACUUUGUGAGCUGACAAGUAAGAAAUGAUAGUACGCCGGAAUAGGUGGGCUGACAAGUAAGAAAUGAUAGUCUUUGAAAGUGUGGAGCUAGUAGCAAAGCUAAUUGCAGCAUCUUUUACUACUUGAUGCGAACUAAUGCUGCUCUAACUUUGUGGUUGUGCCACUAGUUGGUACUAAUAUUGGGAAUUCUAUUAGAAUUCGCAUCUACUAGAAAUGUUCUGUGUUGAUCUGAAUGGACGACCAUGUCUGGGUUGGAUGGAAAUAUUGUUUUUUUUCUUCUUCUUCUUCCAUAGAUUCGUUCAGUUUUCUGCUAGUUUUGUUUUUUCUCCCGUCACAUUUUCCUUCCCUGCAGGCUGCAGUGGAGGAUGUACAGCUUUUGUCCUCAUGUGUGUCAUCUGCUAACCCGAUUGUCUCUCCGCCACCAAUGCAGCUAAUUAAGAAGUACGUACUAUCCUUCAAGGCAGCGGCCGACCCUCCCUCUUGAAACCUGGGAAAGCCGGGAGGCCAGUGGUCCUCAGCCCG